AACCAGCCCCCAGAGUGGUAAGGACGAUUAUUUGGCCUAAAGCGUCCGUAGCCGGCCCGGCAAGUCCCCCGUGAAAUCCGGCGACUCGAUCGUCGGGCGUGCGGGGGAUACUACGGGGCUUGGGGACGGGAGAGGUCGACGGUACUCCAGGGGCAGGGGUGAAAUCCUAUAAUCCUUGGAGGACCACCAGUGGCGAAGGCGGUCGACUAGAACGUGCCUGACGGUGAGGGACGAAAGCUGGGGAGCGAACCGGAUUAGAUACCCGGGUAGUCCCAGCUGUAAACGAUGCGGGCUAGGUGUUGGGGUAGCUACGAGCUACUCCAGUGCCGCAGAGAAGUUGUUAAGCCCGCCGCCUGGGGAGUACGGCCGCAAGGCUGAAACUUAAAGGAAUUGGCGGGGGAGCACCACAAGGGGUGAAGCUUGCGGUUU
rnacentral:rRNA from 1 species